CCUACGGGGGGCAGCAGUGAGGAAUAUUGGUCAAUGGGCGGGAGCCUGAACCAGCCAAGCCGCGUGAGGGAAGAAGGUACAGCGUAUCGUAAACCUCUUUUGUCAGGGAACAAAGGCGGGGACUAGUCCCCGGAUGAGGGUACCUGAAGAAAAAGCAUCGGCUAACUCCGUGCCAGCAGCCGCGGUAAUACGGAGGAUGCGAGCGUUAUCAGGAUUUAUUGGGUUUAAAGGGUGCGCAGGCGGCCUGUUAAGUCAGCGGUAAAAGCCCGGGGCUCAACCCCGGCGAGCCGUUGAAACUGGCGGGCUGGAGUUGGAGAGAAGUACGCGGAAUGCGCGGUGUAGCGGUGAAAUGCUUAGAUAUCGCGCAGAACCCCGAUUGCGAAGGCAGCGUACCGGCUACACACUGACGCUGAGGCACGAAAGCGAGGGUAGCGAACAGGAUUAGAUACCCGGGUAGUC
rnacentral:rRNA from 1 species